ACAAUUGUGGGUUCCUCUUCUCUUCUCCAAAGAAUGAAAGUUGAUAAUUUUGUGUUAAAUCAAUCUUCUUCAAAGAAUUUAUAGGUUUUUCGUCUUCUCCUCUAGAGAAAUGAGAAAUUGGCUUGGACAACACACACUUUUUUUGGAGCUUGUUUUGUUGGAGAUUUUGUUCUCUCGUUCUUGAAAAGUAAACAUCGGCAAGUAGGAAAGGAAUUUCUUGAACCUAAGUCUACAAGAGGAGCUUGUCGAUGAUUCAUUUUGAAGAUCAACGUCAUCAACAAACAACCGUAGAUUAAAAAAAAAAAAAAAAGAAAAAAGGAGUUACUUUUGUUCUUUUCAUUUGGUUUUUUUAUAUUUCAAAAAGUUGGUAACUUUGUGACUGAUUUUCUAGUGAAUCGUUUUCUUUCUCUAGGUAUGGCCCUGUGGUUCUUUUUCUCCAAAUCGUGGAGUUUUUCCACGUACAAAAUCUUGUGUGUUAAUCUUCUUCCCUAGCUGUCUCAACAUACCAUGCUAGGCCACCCAUUGACCAAGUGUGCAAGAGGAGGGGUAAAAAGGAAAAUUCUACAUAGACAACAUGCUCGUUAAAGUAGUUAGUGUUCCUUGAAGCACGUGGUAGUAGGGAAGGAAUAUAUGUGUGGGUAUUUUGUGCUAUGGUUUGUUAUUUUAUUUGUCAUGUGUUUUGUAUGAACCUUUGUUCAUUGAGAAAAGGAUAACCACUACAAGAAGUGGGGUGACUCCCAAUACAUAAAUACACUGGCGUAAGUGUUAAUAACGUCAGAAACUAAAUUUCCAACGCAGAACGCGACGUCAGGAAGACCGCCGGAAGAAACGCAUCGGGAGAGAGAUUUUCGAGCGUCACCAACAAGGCAUCAAGAAUACACUUUCCCCAAUGUUAUCGUUACCGAUGACUACCAUGCAUCAACAAUAACCAUCCCCGACGUGAUGUUUGCACCGUAUUCCCAUGUAUGUACUGCGUAAAAAAAUAUUUUAAAUAUUUAAUUUUUUAUUUUUUUCUGAAAUACUUUCCUGUAAGAUUUAGUUCAUGUAAGAUUAAUCUUCCUAAA